UUCAUUGGUGUUAGACUGCAAAGCUCCGAGGCCCCCCUCCCUCGUUCUGCCCCCUUCCCCUCCUUCCUUCCGUUUCCAUCUUUUUUAGCGUGUAUGACAGGGACCACGUGCACACUAGGCUCCUACCUUAUCAAGUUGCACUAGCUCUUCGGACAGGUGCUGGGUGAAGAGGGCCGAGUGAGGGCCAGGAGCUCCCAUUGGGCAGGUUAGUGACAGCACACGUGCCUGUCCUGGAAGGAAGUUGUCUGACCCAUUCCGGCUGCUGAGGACAGCCUCCUACAUCAGGUGGUAUCCCUGCGACAAAAUGUGGAAAGUCUGCAGAACCUGAAUCGAUGGUAGCUGCCGAGCCUUAAAACUGAUCGUCCUCUGAGGACACAGAACUUCUCCUGGGCUGAGCUGCCGCCGCCAACUCCAACUGUAUCCAGUUCUUAAGCUAGGGCACCAGAUGGACCCGUGGAAGGCCAUGGCUGCUGUCUCCAGCAUUUAGCUGCUAAGGAGCCUCCACUCAAAUUCCCAACUUCGUGCUGGCAUGCUGCCCCUACAUUCUGCAGUGAGCCCACAAAUCCAGCCUUUUCGGGUUUGUGUAGCCAUCACGGCACACCAAAACACCAAGUCCCGGGCUUCAUUGACCCCACACCCCUGUGGCAGUGGCUCUCUAUGACAGAUAAAGUGAGUUCAGAUAUGGUCCUAGCUGCAUCACAGGGCACCACCCCCCUCAUGGUCAUCAGACAGGCAUAGGCUGCCUGGGACUCAGAUUAAAUAAGCCUGAAGCUCCUAAGGUCCUCUCUUAGAUUUUUGGGGUCCUCUGGGGGAGGGGAUCCCCAUGGAUGUUCUGUUCCUGGGACUGCUUCUACACGAGCUUCCUCAGCUCCAUGGCAUCAAUCCAGAAACAAUUAUAAGUCCAUGAUCAUUUCCCACUUGGGUACAAAUGAGUUUCAUAUAGCCCAGUCCGGCUUUAUGUAGCCAAGGAUGGCCUUGAACUUCUCACCCUUCUGCUUCCACUUCCUUAUGGGCAUGCAUUACCACAUCCACUUUAUAUGGCAUGUGGAUGGAACCCAGGGCCCUGUGCAUGCUAGACAAGCAUUCUGAGCCAUAUCCCCAGGCCAACAACUACGUCUACAGAGGCUGUUGAGGCAGGAGGAGAGGGCUUGAAAACAAAGGAAGUAUUCACUCCAGAGUAAACUAGGCUCCAGGUCGAUACUGCUCUUCUGAGAAUCCCUGCUUUGUUUGCUGGAGGUGCCUUAGUGGCCUGUUCUCUAAACUCUCACUGGUUCCUCUUUUUCGUGUUCAUUCACUUGUUUGUGUGAAUCUAGCCUAUGAGGAAGAGGGCAGCAGGUUCGGGGGGGCCCCUAGAGCAGCGCCCACAGCCUCACUGGCCCCCUGCCUCCCUCCUGGCCUUUCUAGGCUUCUGCACAAGAGUGGCUGCUUUCUGCAUCCUGGCGCUUGCUGCCCAGGUUGGAGUUUCAAACAAACUUUCUCCAAGUAAUUCACCCAGUCAUUUACGCGUGCGCGCGCAUACACACACACACACACACACACACACACACACACACACACACACACACGUGCAUGCAGCAUAUGCAGAGGUUGGGGGAAGAUCCCUCAGGAAAAUUCCAAUGCAACUUCUUAAUAGAAUAUACCUUUAAACUCACUAUAUAUGUAAAUACAAAAAUUCAGUGCCCCACUUGGAGAUCAGUGUCUAGACUGUCCCCUUCAUAGUGUAAGUCACAGUAAAAGAUACACAUUCCAGGCUCCGAGCAGGAAGACACCUUCAUGUUCUGAUCAUCCUUUGAGCCACUCUGCGAAUUCCUGCCUUGUACUCAAGGGGUUAGGUAACUACAAAUGGACAUAAAUUCUCAACACACAAGAAUGCUCAGGGACAGCUUGAAUUUGACGUUGGAGUGAACAGGAUAAUGCCGUCUUGUCCUGAGUCCCCAUUUUGUGUUUACUUAGCUCUCGGCCUUCUAUCUCACAAUAGUCACCUCUGCCUCAGCAACGCAUGUGAGAUUCCAUGGCCCUGGCCAGUGGUCCAGAUGUAUUAAGUUUAUACAAACACAAUAUAUACUAAACUAACAGAAGAAAGACAUAAGUAAAAAAUAAUCGCUAUUUAUGUUUGAAAUAACUACUAUGUUCUGCUGGAAAUAAAUGUUUCAAGGUUAGUUUUACCCUCACUUGGCUUUGAUAUAAAUUAUGAUUUUUGUGAGUUUUACUUUUUAAAAUGCUGUCGCCCCGGAGCUUCGGGACCAAGAUACUCUGAGGUGUUGGCUCACUCUUGGUUGCCAACUCAAAUUAAAGGACUCAUAGAAUCUUAAUUGGAUUAAUCUGUGUGCUUGUCUGUAUCUUUCUCCUGUGGAUUAUUUCAACGUGUGGCCCAUGAUGCACUUCACGUCCUUAACACGAUUAGAGGGGGGCUAAGCAGGGGAGGCCGAGUAGAGCGGCUCUCUGUGCUGGGGCCAGAAUCUGUGUGAUGCUACCCUUAACUAAUGCCCCUGCUCGCAUCAUGCCAACGAGAAGAGCCUCUCCCAUAACAAGUGCAUAUAAACACCACCUGUCGGGGAUGAGUGAGAAAGGCCCAGGCAUCGGGCAUGUGGUGUAAAGAUUCAAGGACUUCUUAAAGGCUUGCCUGGACCAGAAGCUGCAAACUCCAGAGGUUCUGGGGAGUCUGUGUGUGGGUAUUGAGAUCUGCUGGACCAGAGCCUCGUGGUCUAGAGGGAGACACUGCAACCCAGGAAGUUUCUGGGUGGAGUAGAGAGCUGCUGGGCAGAAGAGGGAGGAAACGGUCCAGGAACAGAAAGGACUCUAGCUUUCUCCACUGGCUCUCAGGCCAGCCGCAGCCACGUGAAGGACACACACACCCAUGUGCGUGCACACAGACACACUUGCCCUCCGGUCUCCUUGCUUCUGGACUCGUAUGAUUCACUGAUUACAGGACUGGUUUGCUGAUCUGACUACUCUAUAUCUCUCAUUACCUCUUAACCACAAGAGCCAUGGCCUCGUUAUCUUUUGAUGUUUUUUCUCUUUGCUGAACCAUCACUGAUUGAACUCAUCCCACGUGCCAGACAUUGGGAAUGCUGAGGAAGGAGCACAGUGGAGA